GCAAGUGUGGGUAUAAGACGGUGAGGAAGAGGAAGCCCGGGCUCAAAUAUUGAGCAUGGUUGUUAGUUUGAUCGAUCGAACUUUGCUGGAGAGGCACCGCUUGAAUGACCAAACAAGUUCGUUGGUGACUUUAAUGACCAAGUUCUUCCAAGUUCGUGGGGCGACUUGUAACCAAGUUCUCAAAGUUCCAGAAUAACAAGUCCAGGCUCGAAGUUCAUGUGUUUGGGGAAAGGAACUGAGGACGUUUUUCAAUGGAGUGUCGCAAAAUUGAAGAAGCGGAUGCAAGUUUUCCAAAGGGGACAGGAUCAAACAUGAGCUCCCUUGAGCGAGAUUAAACGUGAACCCAAGGUUAGCAAAUUUUAUAAUUUUAUACUCCGUUAUCUUAUUUAACUCUACAAUGUCAAAACUAUUUCCACUAUGCGAAAUUAUU
rnacentral:lncRNA from 1 species